rnacentral:rRNA from 1 species
AACGUAGGACACAAGCGUUAUCCGGAGUUACUGGGCGUAAAGGGCGUGUAGGCGGAUCGGUAAGCCUACUCUGAAAGCUCCUGGCUAAACUGGGAGAGGCGAGUGGAGACUGUCGGUCUAGAGUGAGGAAGAGGAAAGUGGAAUUCCGCGUGUAGUGGUGAAAUGCGUAGAGAUGCGGAGGAACACCAGUGGCGAAGGCGACUACCUGGCCUGUUCUUGACGCUGAGGCGCGAAAGCUAGGGGAGCAAACGGG